rnacentral:rRNA from 1 species
AAAAAAACUUAUAUCACAAUCGCAGGGAAACCGUGAUAGCGUUGGACACCGAGUGCCAGCAAAAAAAAAAGACUGUCCGGAUGUGUAAAAUACAUCCGCAGCAAAAGGCCGGGCAAGACCGGUGCCAGCCGCCGCGUUAACACCGGCGGCCCGAGUGGUGAUCGGGAUUAUUGGGUCUAAAGGGUCCGUAGCCGGUUUGGUCAGUCCUCCGGGAAAUCUGAUAGCUCAACUAUUAGGCUUUCGGGGGAUACUGCCAGACUUGGAACCGGGAGAGGUAAGAGGUACUACAGGGGUAGGAGUGAAAUCUUGUAAUCCCUGUGGGACCACCUGUGGGGAAAGCGUCUUACCAGAACGGGUUCAAAGGUGAGGAAUAAAUGCUGGGGGCACAAACCGAAUUAUAUACACGGGUAGUCCCAGCCGUAAACUAUGCUCCCUGGGUGUCAGGCAUGGGGCGACCCUGUCUGGUGCCGCAGGGAAGCCGUAAAAAAACAACCUUAAAUACUCCCCAAACCUAAAACUUAAAGGAGUUGGCGGGGGAAAGGGCGAUUCGUUUAAACCUGCGGGACUAGUCCCUUUAGUGAGGGUUAAUUCUGACUUGGGUAACCUUGGCAUAGCUGUUUCGCGAA